rnacentral:RNase_P_RNA from 1 species
GAGUUAAUGUGUGAGGAAAGUCCGGGCUCCUUCGGAAAAAACGCCGGGUAAUAACCGGGCAGCAAAGGGUAGAUGCAUUGCUUUUAUGUAGUGUAUAUCCCCUGCGCUGACAGAAAGUGCAACAGAAAAAACACCGCCGGAAACGGUAAGGGUGAAAAGGCAGUGUAAGAGACUACCGCAUUUCUGGUAACAGAAAUGGAUUUGUAAACCUCGUUUGGAGCAAAAUUAAGCAAAAGUUUGGUAUUCCGACCUGAUACUUUGGGUAAAUUGCUAAAGUCAUUCGGUAACGGAUGAUUUGGAUAGAUGGUUGAAUAUUGUUCAUCAAUAUGACAGAACCCGGCUUAUAGUCCUGUUUGU